rnacentral:rRNA from 1 species
UACGGAGGGUGCAAACGUUGCUCGGAAUCAUUGGGCGUAAAGCGCACGUAGGCGGACCGCUAAGUCGGAUGUGAAAGCCCUCGGCUUAACCGAGGAAGUGCAUUCGAAACUGACGGUCUUGAGUAUGGAAGAGGGUCGCGGAAUUCCCGGUGUAGAGGUGAAAUUCGUAGAUAUCGGGAGGAACACCAGUGGCGAAGGCGGCGACCUGGGCCAAUAUUGACGCUGAGGUGCGAAAGCGUGGGGAGCAAACAGG